GACGGAGGGGCAAGCGUUGCUCGGAAUCACUGGGCGUAAAGGGCGCGUAGGCGGGAUGGCAAGUCGGUCGUGAAAUCCUUCGGCUCAACCGAAGAACGUCGGCCGAUACUGCCGUUCUUGAGGGAUGCAGAGGAGAUUGGAAUUCCCGGUGUAGCGGUGAAAUGUGUAGAGAUCGGGAGGAACACCGGUGGCGAAGGCGGGUCUCUGGGCAUCUCCUGACGCUGAGGCGCGGAAAGCGUGGGGAGCAAACAGG
rnacentral:rRNA from 1 species